GAGGCUCAACCUCGGAACUGCCGUUGAUACUAUGUGUCUUGAAUAUCGUGGAGGUAAGCGGAAUAUGUCAUGUAGCGGUGAAAUGCUUAGAUAUGACAUAGAACACCGAUUGCGAAGGCAGCUUACUACACGAUCAUUGACGCUGAGGCACGAAAGCGUGGGGAGCAAACAG
rnacentral:rRNA from 1 species